GUAGGGGGCAAGCGUUGUCCGGAUUUAUUGGGCGUAAAGCGCUCGCAGGUGGCCCGUCACGUCGUGCGUGAAAGACCCCGGCUCAACUGGGGGGUGUCGUGCGAUACGGGCGGGCUGGAGGCCAGUAGGGGGAUGCGGAAUUCCGGGUGUAGUGGUGGAAUGCGUAGAGAUCCGGAGGAACACCAGCGGCGAAGGCGGCAUCCUGGACUGGUCCUGACACUCAGGAGCGAAAGCGUGGGGAGCGAUCCGGAUUAGAUACCCGGGUAGUCCACGCCGUAAACGAUGCGCACUAGGUGUCGGGGGUAUCGACCCCCUCGGUGCCGCAGCCAACGCGAUAAGUGCGCCGCCUGGGGACUACGGCCGCAAGGCUAAA
rnacentral:rRNA from 1 species